rnacentral:rRNA from 1 species
UGAGUACGAGAUGCUACGGCAUCGAAGCAGUCUAUGUCAUACUUCCAAGAAAAGCUUGCACUGUCAGAAACAGAUAAUGCCUGUACCAUAACCGACACAGGUGGGUAGGUAGAGUAUACUAAGGGGCGCGAGAUAACUCUCUCUAAGGAACUCGGCAAAAUGACUCCGUAACUUCGGGAGAAGGAGUGCCUUAUUUUUAAGGUUGCAAUAACAAGAUCCAAGCAACUGUUUACCAAAAACACAGGUCUCCGCUAAGUCGUAAGACGAUGUAUGGGGGCUGACGCCUGCCCAGUGCCAGAAGGUUAAAGAAGUCGGUUAGCAUUCGCGAAGCUGGUAACUGAAGCCCUGGUGAACGGCGGCCGUAACAGUAACGGUCCUAAGGUAGCGAAAUUCCUUGUCGGGUAAGUUCCGACCCGCACGAAAGGCGUAAUGAUUUGGAUACUGUCUCGGAGAGGGGCUCGGUGAAAUAGACUUGUCUGUGAAGAUGCGGACUACCUGCACCUGGACAGAAAGACCCUAUGAAGCUUUACUGUAACUUGAAAUUGAAAUUGGACUUUAUUUGCGCAGUAUAGGUGGGAGGCGUUGAAAAUAUUCUUGCGGGAAUAUUGGAGCCAUCAGUGAGAUACCACUCUUGUAAUGUUAGAUUUCUAACUUUAUAUCAUUAUCUGGUUAAAGAACAGUUUCAGGCGGGCAGUUUGACUGGGGCGGUCGCCUCCCAAAUGGUAACGGAGGCGCACAAAGGUUUCCUCUGAACGGGUAGAAAUCGUAUCUAGAGUGUAAAGGCAUAAGGAAGCUUGACUGUGAGACCUACAAGUCGAGCAGGGACGAAAGUCGGUCUUAGUGAUCUGACGGUGCUGAGUGGAAAGGCCGUCACUCAACGGAUAAAAGUUACUCUAGGAUAACAGGCUGAUCUCCCCCAAGAGUUCACAUCGACGGGGAGGUUUGGCACCUCGAUGUCGGCUCAUCGCAUCCUGGGGCGGUAGUACGUCCCAAGGGUUGGGCUGUUCGCCCAUGAAAGCGGUACGCGAGCUGGGUUCAGAACGUCGUGAGACAGUUCGGUCCAUAUCCGGUGUAGGCGUUAGAAUAUUGAGAGGAGCCUUCUUUAGUACGAGAGGACCGAGAAGGACAUACCUCUGGUGUACCAGUUAUCGUGCCAACGGUAAACGCUGGGUAGCUAUGUAUGGAGUGGAUAACCGCUGAAAGCAUCUAAGUGGGAAGCCCACCUCAAGAUAAGUAUUCUCAUA